rnacentral:rRNA from 1 species
CGCGUAGGCGGGAAUGCAAGUCAGAUGUGAAAUCCAGGGGCUUAACCCUUGAACUGCAUUUGAAACUGUAUUUCUUGAGUGUCGGAGAGGUUGACGGAAUUCCUAGUGUAGCGGUGAGAUGCGUAGAUAUUAGGAGGAACACCAGUGGCGAAGGCGGUCAACUGGACGAUAACUGACGCUGAGGCGCGAAAGCGUGGGGAGCAAACA